ACUCAAUUAGUUUAAAAAACAUUAAAUUGCAAAUUUGA
rnacentral:tRNA from 1 species